UAAUUUUGAUAUUAGAUUCUUAACUAUGUUUGAAUAAUUCACAUCAAUGUGAAGGUAAUGCUAGAUAUGAGAAGGCCAAGUUUAAAGUUAUUGAUUUGGAUGAUUAUGCUGCUGAUGAUGAAGAAUAUGAGGAGAAGUUGAAGACGGAGACUUUGACAUUCUUCUUCCUCGCUACAUAGAUAUGGUGAUGGUGAGCCUACUGACAAUGGAGCAAGGUUUUACAAAUGGUUUACAGAGGUGAAGUAUUAAAAUAGAUGGUUAGUUACUUGGGUUUUUCACAUCGGGUAAAAAUUGGAGUCAAUUUCUGAGUAUGUGUGGUGCUGGGGUAUUUUACUCUGAGAUUGGAAUCCAUGUCCGUAGGCACAUGUAUCUCUUUGAAGAGUGUGUGCGUUUCAGUGUGUGUAGGAGUGAAGGGAGAUUGAUUGUGUAGAUCUGAAAAUGAAUGUUGGGGAAAUUUGAAAUUGAAAUU